GUUUCCGUAGGUGAACCUGCGGAAGGAUCAUUACCGAGUGCGGGCCCCUCGGGGCCCAACCUCCCACCCGUGUUGCCCGAACCUAUGUUGCCUCGGCGGGCCCCGCGCCCGCCGACGGCCCCCCUGAACGCUGUCUGAAGUUGCAGUCUGAGACCUAUAACGAAAUUAGUUAAAACUUUCAACAACGGAUCUCUUGGUUCCGGCAUCGAUGAAGAACGCAGCGAAAUGCGAUAACUAAUGUGAAUUGCAGAAUUCAGUGAAUCAUCGAGUCUUUGAACGCACAUUGCGCCCUCUGGUAUUCCGGAGGGCAUGCCUGUCCGAGCGUCAUUGCUGCCCUCAAGCCCGGCUUGUGUGUUGGGCCCCGUCCCCCCCGCCGGGGGGACGGGCCCGAAAGGCAGCGGCGGCACCGCGUCCGGUCCUCGAGCGUAUGGGGCUUCGUCACCCGCUCUAGUAGGCCCGGCCGGCGCCAGCCGACCCCCAACCUUUAAUUAUCUCAGGUUGACCUCGGAUCAGGUAGGGAUACC
rnacentral:rRNA from 1 species